ACUACGGGCGGCAGCAGUGGGGAAUAUUGCGCAAUGGGCGAAAGCCUGACGCAGCGACGCCGCGUGAGGGAUGAAGGUCUUCGGAUCAUAAACCUCUGUCAGCAGGGAAGAACGGUCACUGUGCUAAUCAGCAGUGAAUUGACGGUACCUGCAAAGGAAGCACCGGCUAACUCCGUGCCAGCAGCCGCGGUAAUACGGAGGGUGCGAGCGUUAAUAGGAAUUACUGGGCGUAAAGCGCUCGUAGGCGGUAUGUCAAGUCAAGGGUGAAAUCCCCGCGCUCAACGUGGGAACUGCCUUUGAAACUGGCAAACUGGAGUGUGUGAGAGGAUAGUGGAAUUCCAGGUGUAGGAGUGAAAUCCGUAGAUAUCUGGAGGAGCAUCAGUGGCGAAGGCGACUAUCUGGCACAUAACUGACGCUGAGGAGCGAAAGCGUGGGUAGCAAACAGGAUUAGAUACCCGAGUAGUC
rnacentral:rRNA from 1 species